UCAAACCACUCAUACCUUUGACCCAGCGAUUUCACUUCUGGAUUAUUCUGACAACAGACUCCCACAGCCCCGCAUGAACACGGGAUGGCUCGCUGCAGCACAGUCUGGGAGCUAAGACCACAGGCCAUUUAAACAUCAAUGAACACGAAGUGUUUCAGCCUGAGGAAACUUUGUCUUAGGACAUCAGCGACAUAUGGGAAUAAUAAAGUAUUCCUCUGCCAGCAAACUGAAGCCUUUAACUUUUCUACCUGAACCCUCUGAAAUCCAAAAGGUCCUGGUCAGUGUCCUUUCCUCCGUGGCGACCAUGGUCAUUUGCAUACGCUCAAUAAGAACCUGUUCUUGUAAGAGGACACCACUGGAAACAUCGGUUAUUUUACCAAGGCUUUGGCCGAGCGUCAUCUUUGAGAGACAGGCAUAGACUCAGAUGUGACUAAGCAGCUUGAAGGAACGAAGGCUGAUUUUCUGAAACCCGGAGCCGUAAAGCCCCUUGGAGAUGUUGGCCGGAUACCUGGGCCGGAGCUCCCAACGGCCUCACCAGGGAGUAAAGAAUGUCAGUUCCUGGCAGGUGCAGGAGCCUCAGGAUACCCUGGGGACCUUGAGAAGAGGAAUACGCCCAAAUCUACAGGCAUUACAGGCAUGUCUGGCAAGUGCUCGACUUGGCUUCUGGCCUGGAGAGGCUACCUGAAGUUCAACCUAGAGAUUCCUUAUAAAAAUUUCCAGCUAAGUGGAUUCUGAAAGAUCUAAAUGAUCAAUCUCUGUUCCUCCUGAGCUUAUAUAAAUCAUUAGGCCACGUUUUGUUAAAACUCGACUCGUUUUACAAAUGACUAGGUCCCGAUUUGGCUACCUCUGUAUACAGGUGAGGGCUACGGUAGAGAGAAAACGUUUCAGUAACACGUCUUUGUAGAUACUAGAUUCUAAGCAUUGAGACUCAAGAAAACUGGAUUAUUCUUUUACCGAUAAGGGGUUCUUUGGGUGAGAGUUGCCCCAACGCAUUCAACAGAGUUAUUGGUUAUUGUCCCUUUGGAGUUACUAUGUGGCAAACCUUUUCUCCUGUAGACCUAUCAAUCGACGGAGACUAUAAUGCUCUAUUAAGUUAUUUACUCGAGGCCAGGUUGAUUCAUAAAUCUCUAAAUGAAUAUGCAAACCAUAUCCUCCCGAAACCUGAUUUGACAGACACUAGCAACCCACCCCAUAUAAACCCCGCAGACAUGAUUUAAAGGAUUGGGAGUUGGGUGCCUGGUGGCUCUGUGGGUGAAGUGUCUGCCUUCGGCUCAGGUCAUGAUCCCGGGGUCGUCCUGGGACCGAGUCCCACAUCGGGCUCCUUGCUCGGGGGGGGGGGUCCGCUUCUCCCUCUGCCCCCCGCACCCCCCCACCCCCCGCUCAUGCUCUCUUUCUCACUCACUCUCUUUCUCAAAUAAAUAAAAUCUUAAAAAAAACAUAAAGGAAGGGGGGCUCCUAUAGCAGGGGGUUUAACUCCAAAUUGUCGUCUUUAUGGUGUCUCCCUGCCCGGUGCCCAGACUCCUUCAGGUGCUACCGCACCUCUAGUUGAGAGACGACCCUUCCUACUCAGGGAGGCUCCACACGUCUCCUACCUUGGGGUAGCUGCCUCUGCCUUCAGUGACUCGAUACAUAAAUUCCCCGACCGACGGGUGCCAACCCGCGGGCAGGGACACCUCCAGGCCCCUACUCAGCAGGAGGAGGUUACAGACCUCGAGGCCUUCCACCCUCAGCAACCUUAGAGAUCGAGGGGUCCAAAUCGUUCCGGGAGGGACUGACGCGGGAAACAAAGGCAGAGGGAGAUGUAGGUAAAAUUAAAUGUCCGCGGGCAGCCCGGGGGGCUCAGUGGUUUAGCUCCGCCUUCAGCCCAGGGCCUGAUCCUGGAGACCCGGGAUCGAGUCCCACAUCGGGCUCCCCGCGUGGAGCCUGCUUCUCCCUCUGCCUGUGUCUCUGCCUCUCUCUGUGUGUGUCUCUCACGAAUGAAUAAAUAAAAUCUUAAAAAAAAUUUAAAUGUCCGUAUAGCCUGCAGCCUAUUGAGAAACACUGGGGGAGGCAGAAUGAAACGUUCCUCCAGGAGGCUCCGACUGUCCUCCCGUCACCGCCUCGCUGGAGGGACGCACAGUCUUGGUUCGGCCGCAGCCGGGCCUCCAGGGUCCCGCGAGUCUUCAGCGCACGAAGGUCCCUUUGGAACGUCCCGUAUGGCCAGUCUCCCCGACCCUACUGUGUAAUCAGUUGCUCCUCACACUCCAGGGCCGCAGCUCACCUGUCGUCCUGCUUUAAUAAACCCACCAUUUUGCCCCGA